rnacentral:rRNA from 1 species
AACGAACGCCGGCGGCAGGCUUAACACAUGCAAGUCGAGCGCCCCGCAAGGGGAGCGGCAGACGGGUGAGUAACGCGUGGGAAUCUACCCAUCUCUACGGAAUAACGCAUGGAAACGUGUGCUAAUACUGUAUACGUCCUUCGGGAGAAAGAUUUAUCGGAGAUGGAUGAGCCCGCGUUGGAUUAGCUAGUUGGUGGGGUAAAGGCCUACCAAGGCGACGAUCCAUAGCUGGUCUGAGAGGAUGAUCAGCCACACUGGGACUGAGACACGGCCCAGACUCCUACGGGAGGCAGCAGUGGGGAAUAUUGGACAAUGGGCGCAAGCCUGAUCCAGCCAUGCCGCGUGAGUGAUGAAGGCCCUAGGGUUGUAAAGCUCUUUCACCGGUGAAGAUAAUGACGGUAACCGGAGAAGAAGCCCCGGCUAACUUCGUGCCAGCCGCCGCCGCCAUAA